rnacentral:rRNA from 1 species
AACGAACGCUGGCGGCGUGCUUAACACAUGCAAGUCGAACGAGAACGGUUCCUUCGGGAGCUUAGUAAAGUGGCGAACGGGUGAGUAACACGUGAGUAACGUGCCCUUGAGCGGGGGACAACUGGGCGAAAGUCCAGCUAAUACCGCAUAAGACCACAGGAACUUAUGUUCCAGGGGUCAAAGACUUCGGUCGCUCAAGGAUCGGCUCGCGGUUCAUUAGGUAGUUGGUGAGGUAACGGCUCACCAAGCCUCAGAUGAAUAGCUGUUCUGAGAGGAAGAUCAGCCACACUGGGACUGAGACACGGCCCAGACUCCUGCGGGAGGCAGCAGUGGGGAAUCUUGCGCAAUGGGCGAAAGCCUGACGCAGCAACGCCGCGUGUGUGACGAAGGCCUUAGGGUCGUAAAGCACUGUCAAGAGGGAAGAAACAAAUGACGGUACCUCUAGAGGAAGCACCGGCCAAAUUCG